AUGACACCCAUGGACAUGGACUCUGGUCUGGCAAAGAUUCCUACUACCCUCUAAUGACCCAUAAAGAAAUGAGAAGGAAACUGCUGCACACAAUAUGAGGUAGAAGAAAGCAUCUAGCUAAGAGUACGGCCUGACAAGAGACAGGAAGAGAGGAUUCAUCUUACUUCUUUCUCCAUUAAGGAAGCAUUGCUGAGUAUAACUUAGACUGGACAGACUUACACUGGACUACUGUCAGGACAACUACAGUUAGACUAUUUCUGCCAAUAAAACAAGCCUACUUUUCGUUUUGUAAUCUGCAAAUAUUUGAUGUCAAAAUUGUGUCCAGGCAGGAUAUAAACCUGCCUGGUUCUUCAAAAAUACAUAAUAAGCUACUUAAAUACAGCUUGAGAGUUUUUUGUUUCCUACAUUUUUUUUUCCUCUAAGCUCACUUACAGAAAAUGGUCUCUGUAAUUUAUAACUAUACAUAUGACAUGAUGAGAAACCAGGCAAUGGUGUGUAAAAUACAAUAAUUUUAUGAAUGCCAAGACAUUUAACACUGUUGCCUGCUAUUCUGCUAAAGCAAUCUACACAUCAAAAAUCUGCAUUAGCAGAUACAAUCUGAACACCAGGAUAAAGAAUGGGAGCAUCCCUACCACAGUCUGCUACCUGUGCUGCCUAAAGCCCCAGGAGGCAGGUGGCUACUGCAGACUUGGCCAAAGGUACCAGCCCAGGGCCCAGGAGCAGAAAGCCCAAACAUUCUGUCACACAACUCUCCCAUUCCAGGCCAUGAACAGUCUGGCGCACCUUGUUCCUGCAGCAGGAACAUUCAAUUUUCUAUACUGCUGAGGGAACCUAAACUGAUUCAACAGCCUAUAACAGCUUUUGUGUGGGUUUUUCCUGGAUUUUAUCCUUUCUGUAAUUGUUCAAGUCUAACCUCAGAACAAAUAUAAUUCAGAGUUCCACAUUUUAAAUGCUUUCCCAGUACCACAGCUGAUUACUUAUGCAACUUGUGGAAGGAAAUCCUCUUGAUAUCUGUUCCACUGGAAUAAACCUGAAUAACCCUAGAACAGCACAUGAGAAGGUAAAAAGAGAACACAAAACAUACAUUAACUGAAAAGUACAACAUACUUAGUAUGUUCACUCCUUGUAAAAUAUGUGAUCAGAUUCUUGAACAUAAGCAGCACAAGUAAUGCACACCCAAAUCAUGUAGAAAAGUGUAAAGAGGCCCCAUUCCAGAAAUGCACCAAGCACCAUCAAUGUAAAUGCCCAGUUAGAUCUUAACCAGGGGAGAUGCCAAGAGAUAGCCAACAAUUGACUUGCAAAUCACAUUGCAAAAGGCCUAGCUCAUAUGUGAUACCAAUGACUCACAUUAACCCAAGUCUGAUUUCCAAGAGGCUCCCAGCAGAAAAAAAACCCAAAAACCCAAAAUCAAAAAAACCACCAAAAUAAAACAAAAAAAAACAGAUAGAGAAAACAGACAAAAGGGGGGAAGGGGGGAAGGCAAAACAUGGGUUAGUA